rnacentral:rRNA from 1 species
UACAGAGGGUGCGAGCGUUAAUCGGAAUUACUGGGCGUAAAGCGUGCGCAGGCGGUUGUGCAAGACCGAUGUGAAAUCCCCGGGCUUAACCUGGGAAUGGCGUUGGUGACUGCACGGCUAGAGUGUGUCAGAGGGGGGUAGAAUUCCACGUGUAGCAGUGAAAUGCGUAGAGAUGUGGAGGAAUACCGAUGGCGAAGGCAGCCCCCUGGGAUAACACUGACGCUCAUGCACGAAGGCGUGGGGAGCAAACAGG